rnacentral:rRNA from 1 species
GAUAAACGCUGGCGGCGUGCAUGAGACAUGCGAGUCGAACGAAGGAUCGGGCUUGCUCGAUCCUUAGUGGCGGACGGCUGAGUAACGCGUAGGUGACCUACCCCGAAGUGGGGAAUAACUGCCCGAAAGGGUGGCUAAUACCGCAUGUGGUCGCACGUUCAUUCGUGCGAGUAAAGCCGCAAGGCGCUUCGGGAGGGGCCUGCGUCCGAUUAGCUCGUUGGUGGGGUAAUGGCUUACCAAGGCGACGACCGGUAGGUGGUCUGAGAGGACGAUCACCCAGACUGGGACUGAGACACGGCCCAGACUCCUACGGGAGGCAGCAGUCGGGAAUUUUGCUCAAUGGGGGAAACCCUGAAGCAGCAACGCCGCGUGAGGGAUGAAGGCCUUCGGGUUGUAAACCUCUUUUGUCAGGGACGAUGAUGACGGUACCUGGCGAAUAAGCCACGGCUAACUACGUG